rnacentral:rRNA from 1 species
GACGAAGGUGGCGACCGUUGUUCGGAAUCACUGGGCAUAAAGAGCACGUAGGCGGCAAGGUAUGUCGGGUGUGAAAUCCCUCGGCCUAACCGAGGAAUUGCGCCCGAAACUACCUUGCUUGAGGAUGGAAGGGGAGCGUGGAAUUCCUGGUGGAGCGGUGAAAUGCGUUGAUAUCAGGAGGAACACCGGCGGCGAAGGCGACGCUCUGGUCCAUUACUGACGCUGAGGUGCGAAAGCCAGGGGAGCAAACGGGAUUAGAUACCCCGGUAGUCCUGGCCGUAAACGAUGGGCACUAGGUAGGGGGGUACCCAAUGCCUCCCUGCUGGAGUUAAUAUAUUAAGUGCCCCGCCUGGGGAGUAUAGUCGCAAGGCUGAA